GGCUUUCGUGGUCUAGGGGGAUGAUUCUCGCUUUGGGGGCAAGAGGUCCCGGGGUUUAAAUCCCCGGGCGAGGCCC